AUCAACGCUGGCGGCGUGCCUAACACAUUCAAGUCGUACGAGAAAGUGGAGCAAUCCAUUGGGUAGGUAAAGUGGCGACCGGGUGAGUAACACGUGACUACCUACCUUCUAGUGGGGGGAUAUAACUCCGGGAAACCGGAGCUAAUACCGCAUAACAUCGCAAGAUCAAAGCAGCAAUGCGCUGGAAGAGGGGGUUCGCGGCUGAUCAGCUAGUUGGUAGGGUAAUGGCCUACCAAGGCAAAGAUCGGUAUCCGGCCUGAGAGGGCGCACGGACACACUGGAACUGAAACCACGGUCCAGACUCCUACGGGAGGCAGCAGUGGGGAAUUUUGCGCAAUGGGGGAAACCCUGACGCAGCAACGCCGCGUUGGAGGAUGACGUCCUUUGGGACGUAAACUCCUUUCGACCAAGACGAUAAUGACGGUACUGGUUGGAAGAAGCACCGGCUAAACUCUGUGCCAGCAGCCGCGGUAAUACAGAGGGGUGCGAGCGUUGUUCGGAAUUAUUGGGCGUAAAGGGGGCGCGUAGGCGGCGCCACAAGUCACUUGUGAAAACUCUGGGCUCAACCUCAGAGCCUGCAAGCGAAACUGUGGGUGCUGGAGUAUGGGAGAGGUGCGUGGAAUUCCCGGUGUAGCGGUGAAAUGCGUAGAUUAUCGGAGGAACACCUGUGUGCGGAAAGCGGCGCACUGGACCAUAACUAGAACGCUGAGGCGCGAAGCUAGGGGAGCAAACAGGAUGUAGAUACCCUUGUAGUCCUGGCCCUAAACUAUGGAUGCUUGGUGUGAUCGGUACCCCCCAUCCGAUCGUGCCGCAGCUUAACGCGAUAAGCAUCCCGCCUGGGGAGUACGGUCGCAAGUACUGAAACUCAAAGGAAUUGACGGGGGCCCGCACAAGCGGUGGAGCAUGUGGUUUCAAUUCGACGCAACGCGAAGAACCUUACCUGGGGCUCGAAAUGUAGGGAGACAGGGGUAGAAAUAUCCCUUUCCGCAAGGACUGCUAUAUAGGUGCUGCAUGGCUGUCGUCAGCUCGUGUCGUGAGAUGUUGGUGUUAAUAAGUCCCGCAACGAGCGCAACCCUUAUCUUUAGUUGCCAUCAGGUCAAGCUGGGCGCUCUAAACGAAACCGCGUAGGAUAACUACGAGGAAGGUGGGGGAUGACGUCAAGUCCUCAUGGCCUUUAUGUCCAGGGCUACACACACGUGCUACAAUGGUCGGUACAAAACCGUCGCAAACCCGUGAGGGGGAGCUAAUCGGAAAAAAGCCGGCCUCAGUUCGGAUUGGAGUCUGCAAUUCGACUCCAUGAAGCUGGAAUCGCUAGUAAUCGCGGAUCAGAACGCCGCGGUGAAUACGUUCCCGGGCCUUGUACACACCGCCCGUCACAUCACGAAAGUGGACUAGCACUAGAAGUCGGCGUGUCUAACCGCAAGGAGGCAGCCGCCCAAGGUAUGGUUCAUGAUUGGGGUG
rnacentral:rRNA from 1 species